GUACACAAAAAGUCUUAGGAGAUACCAUGAUCACAAAGGUAGUUUCCUGGGAAAGUAUCAUUCAUUAUACUACAGAUAUAUUGAUCCCUGUGAGUUUUCCAAAUGUAGAAAAUUCCACAACAUGAUUUCUGAAUAGGGGGAAUCUUCUUGCUCUCCUCU